AAUCAUCCUCAAUCCUCCCCAGGCGUUUGUUCGCUCGGGGAUGGUUGGAUUUUGGACGUGUCGUUUCUCCUUUCCAGGCGACUGGAAGUGCGAAACUCGUCUCAAAUUGAUGGGAAAUGCUGGGGUCACCGCUCAACGGACCUUGCAAAGCAGCAACAGUGAUCUUCAUUGAUUUUGUUACUCUCUUUGCACUCGGGCCGCAGGUACCUCGUUUUACAAGGCCUUUCCGAAUCGCCUUUUGGCAGCCUUGCUGCCGGGCAACAAUCAAAAAC
rnacentral:misc_RNA from 1 species